rnacentral:rRNA from 1 species
UACGUAGGGGGGCUAGCGUUGUCCGGAAUCAUUGGGCGUAAAGAGCGCGUAGGCGGCCAGAUAAGUCCGGUGUGAAAGUCAAAGGCUCAACCUUUGAAUGCCGCUGGAAACCAUCUGGCUAGAGUCCGGGAGAGGAGAGUGGAAUUCCUGGUGUAGCGGUGAAAUGCGCAGAUAUCAGGAAGAACACCCGUGGCGAAAGCGGCUCUCUGGAACGGUACUGACGCUGAGACGCGAAAGCGUGGGGAGCGAACAGG